rnacentral:rRNA from 1 species
AUUGAACGCUGGCGGCAGGCCUAACACAUGCAAGUCGAGCGAGCGGCGGACGGGUGUAUAAUGUAUGGGGAUCCGCCCGAUAGAGGGGGAUCAGUACUGGAACCGAUGGAUAAUACCGCAUACUCUCGGAUGAACACAUAUGGGAUUCGCUAGUCUGUGUGGUAAAGGCUCACCUAGGCGACGAUCUCUAGCUGGUCUGAGAGGAUGAUCAGCCACACUGGGACUGAGACACGGCCCAGACUCCUACGGGAGGCAGCAGGGGGGAAUAGUGCACAAUGGGCGUAAGCCUGAUGCAGCCAUGCCGCGUGUAUGAAGAAGGCCUUAGGGUUGUAAAGUACUUUCAGCGGGGAGGCGUUACCCGCAGAAGAAGCACCGGCUAACUCCGUGCCAGCAGCCGCGGUAAUAC